AUUAAUCGCAGAAAUUAAAAUAAAAGUCUCAAAUAUAAGAAGGAGGUCGAUUUCAGUAUAAGCACAAUUACAGUUGUCAUUUUUCAUAGUUUGCAGAUAUGGGCUGUUCCAGUUCGGGUAUUGUUUGUGGAUAAUGUUGAGCAACAUUUGUCUUAAUGACCACAUAAACUGGCUACUCGGCACAGGACUUUGUAAAUGUUGUGACAAAUCGAAACGUGACAGAUCCUGGUCCUGGCUGAAAUUUAAAGUAUUACAGCUGUAGCUUCUAUACCAUAAAUUUAACAUGGAAAGGACUGUUCUUGGGAAAAUGCUGACGUAACUGAUGGGAGCAGUUUUUCUUACCAAUCAUAGAAGCAGUAGAAGUAUUCAAACACCAUCAUGACACACUUUAGACAUACCACAGAGAGCUCUAGAAGAAGA